rnacentral:rRNA from 1 species
AGUGAACGCUGGCGGUAGGCCUAACACAUGCAAGUCGAACGGCAGCACAGUAAGAGCUUGCUCUUACGGGUGGCGAGUGGCGGACGGGUGAGGAAUACAUCGGAAUCUACUUUUUCGUGGGGGAUAACGUAGGGAAACUUACGCUAAUACCGCAUACGACCUACGGGUGAAAGCAGGGGAUCUUCGGACCUUGCGCGAUUGAAUGAGCCGAUGUCGGAUUAGCUAGUUGGCGGGGUAAAGGCCCACCAAGGCGACGAUCCGUAGCUGGUCUGAGAGGAUGAUCAGCCACACUGGAACUGAGGCAAGGUCCAGAGUCCUACGGGAGGCAGCAGUGGGGAAUAUUGGACAAUGGGCGCAAGCCUGCUACAGCCAUACCGAGUGGGUGAAGAAGGCCUUCGGGUUGUAAAGCCCUUUUGUUGGGAAAGAAAAGCAGCAGGUUAAUACCCCGCUGUUCUGACGGUACCCAAAGAAUAAGCACCGGCUAACUUCGUG